rnacentral:lncRNA from 1 species
AACUUGAUGAAUGCAUUACAUAAGAAAACAGUUUCAUAUGUUUAACUGUUUAAAAUUGUGAUGUGAAAUGAAUAUUUAUAUUUCCUAGAAAACUUAGUUUUCUCUUUUUAUUUCUUGAAAACCUGCAUGCAAAACUGCAAGUUUGUAGAUUAUACAAGCAUAAAUUUUUUAUGAUGCGGAUCAAGCAUGCAAAAUAAGUAGACCUGUUGAUUCAUUCCUUAUGUUUUGGAAAAAGUGUGAGCAAUCCAGAAUCUAAUGAAUUGUUAUGAAACUUUGACAAAACGAUUGCUUUGACAUUUUGGCUCUUAAUUGGGCACUGAACUUGAUGCAGGCCUGAAAAGCCUUGCCCGAAGAAAUAUGCCAAAGCCAAAAGGAGCAGCACCUACACAUCACGAGCAGCCCUUAGGGAGCCUAAAUUGGCGACCUAGAAUGUGGUGGCACUUGACUCACAAGUGUCCAAGGAGCUCAAAUUUUUGCAGUGAUAGGAUGGGUCAUAUAAUUCAGCAGCUUCAAAAAUUCCCCAAAAUAGCACAGAAGAAAUUUCGAAACGAAACUACUUCCAGCAUGUCCAACAUUAAGCUUUCCAACACAAGUUGAAUCAUGCCAAUUGCAAUUCAGAUGACAAAUAGUUGAAAAUUUGAGCUUGUAUCAGCAUUAUAUCAGUCUGUAAUUUGAUAGCGGAACCUUUAUCGUCGAACUAAAGUUGGAUGGUAGUUAGUAUGCUACCAGACUUAUUCGGAUGGCAUAGAGCCUACCUUAGAACUAGUCAGCCUAGGUUAGAUCUGAUGGCAGUUAUGGUGCUAUCUGACCAAACUAACAGCAGGAUAGCUGCCAUUAUAACUAUUUUGCUUCCAGAGCACCCUUAAGGCAUAGGAUAUGUUUCUAGAAGCCUUGUUUUGCAAAUUAUUUGACUCCUUGUCAAGUUCUAAGGGAUUCCAUGAGUAUCCAUGUAAGGGCCCCAUAACACUAUACAUAUCCCUAUACCAUGGUCUGUCGAACCGGUCCGCACCGGGCCGG